GUUUGACAUUUCUGCUGGUAAAAUAACAAUGUAUGGGCGGGGCCUGACCGCCAUACUGAACGGUCGCACUUAAUAAGAGCUCUCUGCAAAAUUAUAGAAAUGAGCAAAUAAACCGACCCAUCACUCGAGAAAACUUGACAUACUCCUGUUGUCCGAGAUACAUUUUGAGGCGUUUAGCCGCUCGACUAGUGGUCUUACCCCGAAGCAUCUCUGAGGCCUACCUGAGG